CUUUGUUUACAGCAGCAGAACCUUAGUCUGUGGUUAUCAUAGAUUAAAGUCGUUCGUUUUUGCAUCAAGGACUUAAAACUAUACUUUGACAUGACAACUUUUCUGAUAAUGAACCAUUGGUUGAGGUUCAGUUCAGAUUUACCAUGUAUAUUGGUUUUAAUUUAUGUUUCAAUUAUUAGGCAUGUGAAGCCUUAUCUGAUCCUACUUUCUGCAACAGGAACACUUGGAGAGCAAUGAGGGUGAUCCUGAGUUACUUGUUUACAUUCUAUUUACAUCAGAUGUCAAGAUCACGGGCAUUUCAAUUAUUGGUGGUGUUGAUGGAACAAGUACUUCCAAGAUGAGUGCAUAAGUUCGAACUUCAAUAUUUUCUACGGAAGGCCCGGAUUUCUUAUAUUGGUGUAGUUCGAAUAAAAUAAAUAUCAAAACAGUCUUUGAUAGGUGUUCAAUGUUCACUUCAUCGCAUUUUUUGUAUUUGAAAAUACUAAAAACAAGACUGCAUUGCUUAAAAUAGGUUCAUCAACCAAGAUGGCAUUGACUUUUCAGGUGUUCAAGGAAUGCAAGCCAUUCAGGAGUGGGAUUUGGUUGAAAAUUUUCAAGGAGUGUUGGAGUACCAGACAAGAUGUUCUUUAGGUAUUCAAAGUUUCAAAAUGUGGCCAGGAUGGCAGCUCUGAACAAGUUGUCGAGUUCUCAAAAGAGAAGGCAGGAUGGCUUUGCUAUCUAUACAGAAGAAGAGUUGGGAAUUAAUAAGGCAGAUGCUGGAAGCACACCGCUUUGUCCAUUUGAUUGUUCUUGUUGCUUCUAAGGAUACUUGCGAAUUUGUGACAUUUCCCAGUUUUAAAAUUUGGUUCUGGUUUCGGUUUCUGCAAUUUGAGGAUAGCUGAGUGUAGCUUUUGGCUCUUCUUAUGUACACCAGAACCUGAUUAAUGACUCCUGAUCAUUCUUCAAUCAGUGCCAUCUUAGAAAUCGAUGUCCUGUGAUUAUGAGUUCUUUAAGUUUAAAUCAUGACUGUACUAGUAUUUAAAUCCAAAAACCUGAAAAGAAAAGUCUUGUGGUGGAUUUUGUUGGUUGCAGCCGCACUUUCUUCAUCCCUUUGUCUGCUGCAGAGUCUGUUAUGAUAAUAUAGAUUAAAGUGAUGCGUUUGAAACCUAGGACUUCAAACUACACAAUGAU